UACGUAGGGGGCAAGCGUUGUCCGGAUUUAUUGGGCGUAAAGAGCGUGUAGGCGGUCUGGUAGGUCCGUUGUGAAAACUCGAGGCUCAACCUCGAGACGCCGAUGGAAACCAUCAGACUAGAGUCCGGAAGAGGAGAGUGGAAUUCCUGGUGUAGCGGUGAAAUGCGCAGAUAUCAGGAAGAACACCCGUGGCUAAGGCGGCUCUCUAGUACGGGUACUGACGCUGAGACGCGAAAAGCGUGGGGAGCGAACAGGAUUAGACUCCCGUAGGUAGUCCGAG
rnacentral:rRNA from 1 species